UAUUUUCCCGCGUAAUAAGUUUGUUUACAUUUUUGACAGUUCAAACAGGGUCAGUAAACACUGAUUAAACAAUGCAUGUGUUUCUACUUUUGUAACGUUUAACAAACUAUAACAACCGGCACACAACGUUUACAACACUUUGGUUAGAAAGAAAUUCACUCCCUGUUAAGCAGCUAUGUCUCCAAGGUGGAGUUUUCGUCAUUUCUUACAAAUCAUUAGACAUAAAUUGUUUUCAAGCUUUGCAAUCAUAUAUUUUUUUGUAAACUAGAUUUAGAUGUAUUAUUAUAUAGUAAAAGACAUGAAAGCUGUGAACAAAUAUACAUAUUACAUGUAUAUAUUAUUAAUGUACACAUUAUAUUGUUCUUUUAUGUUUCUAUAUUAGAAUUUGAUUUUUAACUAAUAAAAUAGUUUAAAAAAAAAACU
rnacentral:lncRNA from 1 species